AAUGUGAAUUGCAGAAUUCAGUGAAUCAUCGAAUCUUUGAACGCACAUUGCGCCCGGUAGUACUCUACCGGGCAUGCCUGUUCGAGCGUCAUUUCAACCCUCAAGCCCUGCUUGGUGUUGGGGCCCUACGGCUGCCGUAGGCCCUGAAAGGAAGUGGCGGGCUCGCUACAACUCCGAGCGUAGUAAUUCAUUAUCUCGCUAGGGAGGUUGCGGCGUGCUCCUGCCGUUAAAGACCCAUCUUUAACCAAGGUUGACCUCGGAUCAGGUAGGAAUACCCGCUGAACUUAAGCAUAUCAAUAAGCGGAGGAAAAGAAACCAACAGGGAUUGCCCUAGUAACGGCGAGUGAAGCGGCAACAGCUCAAAUUUGAAAUCUGGCUUCGGCCCGAGUUGUAAUUUGUAGAGGAUGCUUUUGGUGAGGUGCCUUCUGAGUUCCCUGGAACGGGACGCCAGAGAGGGUGAGAGCCCCGUAUAGUCGGCCACCGAUCCUUUGUAAAGCUCCUUCGACGAGUCGAGUAGUUUGGGAAUGCUGCUCAAAAUGGGAGGUAUAUCUCUUCUAAAGCUAAAUAUAGGCCAGAGACCGAUAGCGCACAAGUAGAGUGAUCGAAAGAUGAAAAGCACUUUGAAAAGAGGGUUAAAUAGCACGUGAAAUUGUUGAAAGGGAAGCGCUUGUGACCAGACUUGUGCCGGGCUGAUCAUCCAGUGUUCUCACUGGUGCACUCGACCCGGCUCAGGCCAGCGUCGGUUUUCGUGGGGGGAUAAAAGCUUCGGGAACGUGGCACCUUCGGGUGUGUUAUAGCCCGUUGCUUAAUA
rnacentral:rRNA from 1 species